UUUGCAGAAGAAGAAGAAGAAGAACCAUUAUCUAA
rnacentral:sRNA from 1 species